AUGCAUGUCUCAGCGUACACGGCUUCCACAGUGGGUCUGUGAAUGGCUCCUUACAUCAGCAGUCAUCUGAGUGAUACAGUGCGGACGGUGCCCCUCCUGCCAGGCGCCCAAUUGGAUAUCCUCCAAAACCUAGUGGCUAAUACACGCAAGCCAAGGUCGGCCUCAGCAUGGUCUUGCCAGCAGUCCCUGCUGCUUCACCAGUGGUGGAUUGCGCCCAGCCGCUUGAAAGACCAGCGCCUGGAUAAUGGCAGUGUGUUGUGGUUGACUCAGGCUGGUCCAUCUUGGACACCUGCGCUGGCAGAGUGGUGGCCCCGGCCACAGCAUUGCUUGAUCACAAGAACUUCUGACCUAUCAGCCUGGAUGGUGGUGUAGUGGACCACCAUGGCGGUGACGGGUAACGGAGAAUCAGGGUUUGACUCCGGAGAGGGAGCCUGAGAGACGGCUACCACUUCUAAGGAGGGCAGCAGGCACGCAAAUUGCCCAAUGCCAAGACAUUCUCUGGUGAGGCAGCGACGAACUGCAGCAAGCCCGCCUGUCCUCGUGACCAGCGGGCCUUGUAAUGGAUGCAUAAUCCAAAAACAGUGAUGAGUAUCAACCGGAGGGCAAGUCUGGUGCCAGCAGCUGCGGUAAUUCCAGCUCCGAGUGCGUAUACUAACAUUGCUGCUGUUAAAACACUUGUAGUCUGAUGCUGGGUUGCAGGUCUGCCGGGGCAGCUGUGGGGUGGCCCUUGUCCCUCUGGGUGUCCUGCCCGUCAGGCCCCCGGAAGGGCCUGGGUUGCCUCCCGCUGGUCAAAACCCUGGUGGUAUGUUCCUGCACCCGUGCCAACGAUGGUGAGAGCCGCUCCUGCUCCAAGUCUCCUUCAGUGGGGGCCGCUGCGGUGUGCAUACCCAACGCUUGUGUGUUGACGUCCGGGGCCACGGCCUUGCGCCUGUGGAUUCUCCCCAGUCCACCACCGGAGUCCACCGUCUCUGACACCGUGGAAAACUCAGUGUGCCCCAAGCAGCCUCUGCGGCUGGAUGCCCGUCCAUGGAAUGUCAAAGCAUCGACCACCUGCUUGGCUUUUGGAGUUGUGCUGGCCUUGGUGCCCAGGUUGGGGAACAUGGCACUGUCCCCAGUGGCACACGGAGGACGCCCCCGUGGUGCUCCCCCGCUGGGCUGCUGGUGGGCAGGCGUCACUCGUCCAUGAUGGGACUGCUCAGGGUGGAAGGUAUUGCAACGCCAGAGGUGAAAUUCUUAGACCGCUGCAAGACCAACGGCGGCGGAGGCGUUCUGCAGGUGCACGUUCGUCGAUCAAGAAUGUGAGUGUGGGGAGCAAAGAUGAUCAGACACCGUCGUAGUCCACGACUGUCAACUAUGCCGGCCCGGUCCUGGUGGUGCAAGUACACGGACGCCAUCAGGGCCAUCUCCCCCUGCAACGAGAAAUCCAAGCCUGUGGGUUCAGGGGGGAGUACUGUCGCAAGGCUGAAACUUAAAGGAAUUGACGGAAUGGCACCACAAGGUGUGGAGUAUGCGGCUUAAUUUGACUCAACACGGGGAAUGUUACCAGGUCAGGACGUUGCUGGGAUGGACAGAUUGAGAGCUCUUUCCUGAUUCCUCGGAUGGUGGUGCAUGGCCGCUCCUGAUUGGUGGAGUGAUUUGUCUGGUUGAUUCCGUUAACGAGUGAGACAUCUGCCUCCCAAUAGCCCCAACCUCGCAUCUUGUAGGGCGGCCACGGCSSGCCACGCGGGGCUUGCCCAAGGGGUGGCUGCGGUUUGCCUGAGAGGUUCUGGGAUCAGCUUCUCUGAGGUGCUGUGUACGCUACCAAGUGCAUGCAUGCUAGAGCCAACAGCAGGUCUGUGAUGCUCCCAGAUGUCCUGGGCCGCACGCGCACUACAUUGGCCCAGUGAAUGUGCUCAACGCUUGCUUGUCAAGACCUUCCUGGAAGUGGGUUGGAAACCCCUGAAGCCUGGCCUUUGCCGUACUGGGGAUAGAUGAUUGCAACUGUCUGCCUUGAACGAGGAAUACCUAGUAAGCGCAGGUCAUCAGCCUGCACUGAUUGUGUCCCUGCCAUUUGUACACACCGCCCGUCGUUGCUACCGAUGGCAUCGGGAUAGAGCCAUCAGGAGGACCCGCUCCCCUUGUGGGAACCAAGGCUGAAAUUGGGCAAUGUCCCCGUGCUAGAGGAAGCAAAA
rnacentral:rRNA from 1 species